rnacentral:tRNA from 1 species
GCCCCGGUAGCUCAGCUGGAUAGAGCAGGACGGUUCUAACGUCAAGGUCGUGGGUUCGAAUCCUACCCGGGGUACCA